rnacentral:rRNA from 1 species
AGCGAACGCUGGCGGCAGGCCUAACACAUGCAAGUCGAGCGCCCAGCAAUGGGAGCGGCAGACGGGAUAGUAACACGUGGGAACGUACCCUUCAGUUCGGAACAACCCGGGAAACGUUGGGCUAAUACCGAAUACGUCCGUAAGGAGAAAGAUUUAUCGCUGAAGGAUCGGCCCGCGUCUGAUUAGCUAGUUGGUGAGGUAAUGGCUCACCAAGGCGACGAUCAGUAGCUGGUCNGAGAGGACGAUCAG